GACCCGAAGCGGAGUGAUCUACCCAUGGCCAGGUUGAAGCGCGGGUAAGACCGUGUGGAGGACCGAACCCACCAGGGUUGAAAACCUGGGGGAUGAGCUGUGGGGUAGGGGUGAAAGGCCAAUCAAACUCCGUGAUAGCUGGUUCUCCCCGAAAUGCAUUUAGGUGCAGCGUCACGUGUUUCUUGCCGGAGGUAGAGCUACUGGAUGGCCGAUGGGCCCUACAAGGUUACUGACGUCAGCCAAACUCCGAAUGCCGGUAAGUGAGAGCGUGGCAGUGAGACUGCGGGGGAUAAGCUCCGUAGUCGAGAGGGGAAACAGCCCAGAACACCAGCUAAGGCCCCUAAGCGUGUGCUAAGUGGGAAAGGAUGUGGAGUUGCACAGACAACCAGGAGGUUGGCUUAGAAGCAGCCACCCUUUAAGAGUGCGUAAUAGCUCACUGGUCAAGUGAUUCCGCGCCGACAAUGUAG
rnacentral:rRNA from 1 species